rnacentral:lncRNA from 1 species
CAUUGCCUAUGGUACUCAGUAUGGUAACAUGCUGCAGAGGUCUGGAGCCCAGGAGCAAUCAGCUCUACCAUUCAGCUAAGGUGUGUGUUUGGUUGCAGCCUCUGGAGGAAGCUAAGGAGGAAUGACCUAAAGACAGAAGUUUCAGACUCUACUAUUUGAGCCAUUUUCACUCUGGCUGGAACUGGCCUCCUAGGAACCGGCUCUUUAACCCCCAAGACAAAGCCACCGCCAAAGCAGGAGCUGCCAAUGGGACACACUCGUCCAGAGACCAGUGAAUCUGCAUCGAGUACCUGUGAUUCAGAGCAGCUGAUUAUUCUAUUGUUCAUGGUCAUGCCUCCUGGAUGCAUGUGUGGAGGAACUGUCAAAAUCGUUAAAAGCAAGGAAGACCCUGGAGGUCUAACGAAUGCUUGAGGAAGAGCAGAAAGGCUGGGUCACAUGAUUUCCAGGAACAGGUCAAGCCAAUGUUCUAUGCUCAUGGGAUAGCAAGGAGGACGGCGGUGGGCUGAGCUGGCGAUAUGUGACUUUGACGAAGUCUUCUGAGAAAGGUAGGUCUAGACAGGUUGGUGAGAAGGAGGGACAGCUGCCUUAGAUCAGAGACAGGCUGUGUGUGAUCUUUAGCAAGUGACUGAAACUUUCUGACCCUCUGCCCCCAUUUCUUCAUUUCUUUCUUUCUCUUUCUCUUUCUUUCUUUCUUUCUUUCUUUCUUUCUUUCUUUUCUUUCUUUAUUGCCUCCUUCCUGCCUUCCUUCCUUCCUUCUUUCUUUUCUUCCUUCCUUCCUUUUUUUUCUUUUUUUUUGACAUAGU